rnacentral:rRNA from 1 species
UCAGGACGAACGCUGGCGGCGUGCCUAACACAUGCAAGUCGAGCGAUGAAAUCCUUCGGGAUGGAUUAGCGGCGGACGGGUGAGUAACACGUGGGUAACCUGCCUUGUAGAGGGGGAUAGCCUUCCGAAAGGAAGAUUAAUACCGCAUAACAUCUUUUUAUCGCAUGGUAGAAAGAUCAAAGGAGUAAUCCGCUACAAGAUGGACCCGCGGCGCAUUAGCCAGUUGGUGAGGUAACGGCUCACCGAGGCGACGAUGCGUAGCCGACCUGAGAGGGUGAUCGGCCACAUUGGAACUGAGACACGGUCCAGACUCCUACGGGAGGCAGCAGUGGGGAAUAUUGCGCAAUGGGGGGAAAAACCCCUGACGCAGCAACGCCGCGUGAAUGAAGAAGGCCUUAGGGUUGUAAAGUUCUGUUUACGGGGACGAUAAUGACGGUACCCGUGGAGGAAGCCACGGCUAACUACGUGCCAGCCGCUGC